ACACUCCUACGGGAGGCAGCAGUGGGGAAUAUUGCACAAUGGGCGCAAGCCUGAUGCAGCCAUGCCGCGUGUAUGAAGAAGGCCUUCGGGUUGUAAAGUACUUUCAGCGGGGAGGAAGGCGAUAAGGUUAAUAACCUUGUCGAUUGACGUUACCCGCAGAAGAAGCACCGGCUAACUCCGUGCCAGCAGCCGCGGUAAUACGGAGGGUGCAAGCGUUAAUCGGAAUUACUGGGCGUAAAGCGCACGCAGGCGGUCUGUCAAGUCGGAUGUGAAAUCCCCGGGCUCAACCUGGGAACUGCAUUCGAAACUGGCAGGCUAGAGUCUUGUAGAGGGGGGUAUAAUUCCAGGUGUAGCGGUGAAAUGCGUAGAGAUCUGGAGGAAUACCGGUGGCGAAGGCGGCCCCCUGGACAAAGACUGACGCUCAGGUGCGAAAGCGUGGGGAGCAAACAGGAUUAGAAACCCCUGUAGUCCCA
rnacentral:rRNA from 1 species